GAUGAACGCUGGCGGCGUGCUUAACACAUGCAAGUCGAACGGAGAUACCUUUGACAGAGACUUCGGUCAAAGUCGCUGGUAUCUUAGUGGCGGACGGGUGAGUAACGCGUGGGUAACCUGCCUUAUACUGGGGGAUAACAGCCAGAAAUGACUGCUAAUACCGCAUAAGCGCACAGUGCCGCAUGGCACAGUGUGAAAACUCCGGUGGUAUAAGAUGGACCCGCGUUGGAUUAGCUAGUUGGCAGGGCAGCGGCCUACCAAGGCGACGAUCCAUAGCCGGCCUGAGAGGGUGAACGGCCACAUUGGGACUGAGACACGGCCCAGACUCCUACGGGAGGCAGCAGUGGGGGAUAUUGCACAAUGGGCGAAAGCCUGAUGCAGCAACGCCGCGUGAGGGAAGACGG
rnacentral:rRNA from 1 species